rnacentral:tRNA from 1 species
GGUUCUAUGGUGUAAUGGUUAGCACUCAGCACACUGAAUCCUGCGAUCUGAGUUCAAAUCCCGGUAGGACAU